GGACCCAAUGCUGGAAAUGGGACUGAACCAUCCUUAGCACAAGCAAUUCUGUUAUGAGUUUAGCAGAGAUGAAAAGCACUUGAACCAAUUGGUGGUGACUUAUGAGUACCAUGGGAGGAAGUCAGCCCACCACAAUUUGUAUAUUGAAUCAUGCAAAGUAUGGAUUAUGCAAAACAGCCCAGCUGUAAUUUCGAGUGAAAGGAGAGACAGGUCAACACUUUGCAGGACUUUACAGGACAGAACUCUAAGCACUGCAAGAGAUCCUGACACCAGUGAAUGAGUCCAUGCAGCAGAUCAUAAACACAUCACCAAGUCAUGAUAUUGGAACAUCACUUCCUGCCGAUACCUAAAUAUUAAUCACUUACUUAGCCCUUGGGAAAGCUAUUUAUGGAAAUUUCAGAUUUUCAUGAUAAAGAAAGUGUUUUGCAAUUAGAACUGGAGGAAACCAUUGAUCUCGAUAACAGGGUGAGAAACUUUCUCACUUGCAAGGUUGGCGAAUCCCAUUAGCAAUCGCCAAACUCUGCCAAACAGCAAACAAGCAAAGAUGCACGGCGAGGAGGAGGUGAAAAGUGUAAUAAAAAAUGCUGGUUUUCUCUGUUUGACUUUCUUGCCAAGCUGGCGCACCGGAGAAGACAUUUGCCAGCUGUCAUAUCUGAAGAAAGACUCAACUGAAAGAUCUCGCUACGCUCAGUUCACGAGCAAGACUUUUUUUUUUUUCUCAGAAUCAGCCAGAUAACUGAUUAUUCUGUGCUCAGCGAGAAACCUUGUGGCUUUGCAACGUUUCACCCGGCGCGCUGCAACAACCAACAUCUCUGCUGCUGAAAGCUCUCAAACAAAAAUAUUCGGAAUAAACUUCCAAUACUUUGGAACCCUGCCAGUCGUGGGCAUCUUUCAGGAGAGGCAGCAGAUACAGGCUUACUGUCCGUUAUUAUGUUUGUCGUCUGCUGUGGUCCUUGAGGUUGCUUCUUGUAUUUCCAGCGGCCGUAAGACGUUCUUGCAGAGCUUACUGGUUAAUCGCGAUACGUUAAACAAGCUGCGAAGUGCUGUGGGAAACCAUUGCAAAGAUACUUAACAGACUGAUACACUACGCUAUGUCUGUAACCUCUUUCCAUCUGAUAGUGCCGUCGUUUUGAAUGGGCUGUGUGGGAGGCAGCCUGUUGCCCCGACCUGAGCUCAUGCCACAUUUCUCAGGCAGAUGCUUCCGUCUCCCCGACGUAACAUGCAGGCUAGACAAGGCUCACGGGAGGGAAACGUGUGAAGUAAUUCCCAUUCCCCCCUCUUCCAAGUAUGUAACACCGUUGUACUGCUUGUCAGAUAUGUUUUGAGACAAUAGUUUUAUUUUUCUCGUCUAUAACAUCAGGUAUUGUUAUCACUAUCAUUACUAUUAUUACGUAUUAUUGAAACCAGUCUGAAACUGCAUACCCAUAUGCAAUUGCAUCUGAAACACUUAACUGAGAUGAGAUGAGAUAACCACGGUGCGCGAGGCUCAGCCAGCUGGAGCAAGGGGGCAGAGGACUUCCAAAGAGGAGCUGGGAUGGCGCAUGCAAAAGGCUCGUUAAAUGCGUCAGCUUCCCUCGCUGGAAGAGCAGGAAAGAUCCAGCCUGAGGCCAGGACCCGGCUUUCUGGGUGAGAAGAAGCACGGGAGCACCAAUGCCUGUGUCUGAGUGGCAUUUCCAGCCGAGUUCCUGGGCUGCGUGGCUGAAAUCUGGCAGAGACCACGUACUAAACUUGACCCCAAAGUGGUGUAACAGACCUGUGGCCUCAUCCUUACCCAACUCCAACGCCUGUCUGCACUUGAACUAAAUGUUAAAAAGUGGUAUUUCCUGAGAGCACUGUGAGGAGCCUUAAGGGCUGGCUACCGGGCAUGCAGUGAGAGCCAACAGCUGGCCUGGCCACUCUGCUCCUUAUCUCCAGACUGAUAGCAUCAAAGGUCUCAGCCUGUUCUGGCUGGGGGCUGGCUCUUGCCAGGCAGUGAAUGGCUUAUGAAGGUGCUUCAGCUUAGAUUUCAGGUGGGUUUCAGCACUGAUGCACUCACUGCAGUAGCAUCCCCAUUACUGAGGACUGGAUCCAAUGUAGGAUUUGGAUAUGUGAAGAACAAAUGCCUCAGGAGGAAAGUGGCCAUAAACCACUUGUGACAGCUGCCCAGCCUGCAUCAGCAGCUUUCUGUGGAAGUUCCCACAAGUGUCUGUAUGAGAGCUCCAGGGAAAACUAUGGAACAGGUCCAGGGAAAAGGAAGGUAACUUUCUUAUAUAAAUGAAAUCAACACAUUUUCACCCACAUUUUUGCUUUUCAUUAAAAUGGAUCCAGCUGUGGAAGCACUAGCAAGGAAGAAUGUGACCUCAGGUCCCUGUUAGAGGGGUGGGAACAAUUGUAGUAAGGGGAAAUCAAUGCAAGAUCUUUUAUGGCCAAUACAGGCUAUAAAUUACAGACCUAGGCAGAUAAAGCAUUUAGAAGUCACACUUGCAGAGCCACGGUGAAGAGAUAACAAAGGAAAACUACACCAAAGUCCCAGUUCUUCAGCACUUAUGAUCUUAAUUAAAGGGUAAUGUAAUCAAUCUGGUGAUUAAUCAUAAACUUUUUAUUGAGGGAGAGUAGUAGGCAUUCCUACCAAAGGCACCAGCGCCCAUUUUGCUAUCAGUCUGUCUAACUCCAUUGCACUGAAUCCUUCCUGCUCUGAAAUAUCUUCAUGGACACCUGUGGACUUAUGUCAAGAUAAGAUCAGCCCAUGGAGAAAAACACAAGAUACUCUACCACCUACCUGGAGUCAAAUAAAUGGAUUCAAAUCCACAUUCCUGCAGGGAGGUGAGAAAUCUGAAUGGCUUGGGUAAUGCACAGCACUGUAUGCAUAAACUACACGUUCCUUAAGGACAUUAAACUUGCAGUCCCUCAGGGGAGGGCAUGAACCAUCACUGCUCCCUGCAGUACACAUGGUGGCAUGAGGGACACCAACAAGGGACACCGCCGCCCAUCCUGCUGCACAGCACCGCCACCGAAGGCAAUGGAGGGUCUGGAAAAGACGGAGCGAUUGCCUGCCACAGCCAGCAAGGACGAAGUGGCCAAGAGUUUGUGCAUUCAGAUCCCUGUGGGAGGAUGGGAACAACCCCUCCAAUCCCUCCUCCACGAUCCUGGCUUUACUGCAAGAACCCAGCCACAAAGCUAAGCCGGUCUGUUUACCAACGUAACAGUCAGAGCAAGAGCUUACAUCAUAUUGGAGCAAACAAAGCCUGGGGGGAAAAUACCUCUAACUUAAGGUAUAUUCUGAUGUAAGAGUAAGAGCUAGCAGCAUUUCAGGGUCCUUUUGUAAUAAUAACUCCCACGCUGGAGCCUUAAGCAUUAAUGGUCUGUGAAAGCUAUUAUUUGAUGUUUUUAGCAUUGAAUUUCAUUCUGACAGGACUUCAUGAUACGUAUUACAGAAAAAAUACUGUUAACCUAAUCAUAUUAAUACCAAAUCUUUGUACUGUAAUAGCCUCAAACAUUUAGAGCAAGGCACAAACCUGACUUUUCAUAAAUACAGAAAGACAGAAGUUUUAAUGAUGUUAUUUUCCUACUGCUUCCCCGACUGCAUCUGUUAGAGUCACUAAGACCAAGGACCAUCAUUCCUCUCUUUUACAGACAGAAGAGUGGAAAAGAUGCUUGGCUUUCCAGGGCCGAACCCUGCACUUCUUAUUCCCAGGGACAGCCUCUUCAGGCAUUAUCAAUUUGUCUUUGUCUUUCCCUUUUUAAGACAUGCCUGGCAUAAGUUGCGUCUGAAAUAUAAUUCCUGAUUUCUGCUGCUGCUGACAGUUUAAAUUAUUAAGAGGAAUUUUAAAGUUCUUUUUAGGUCUCUCACUUUUACAUGACAGUUUUCCUUCCCGCAUUUCAGUUGGUUUUGGUAGUCUUGUCGGAGUCAAUUUUUCUUUCUCUUUAUUAAAACAAACUCUAUGCUGUCUGCCUUUGAUGAGCUUCUAAAUGCAAAGGAAAGAAAAAAAUAUACAGGUAGUAAAUACUCUGAAACAUUCACCUAUGCAUAUAGUUCAGACAAAGUGAAUCUGCAUCCUCAUGUUGUCAAGAAGGGCCCUUUAAGCUUGAAACGAGAGCAGAUUCUUUCAAACUUUCCCAGAGAAUAGCAGUGACCUUGCAGAUCAGAUAACCCAUGGUCUACAAGAGUUCAAAUAUGUCAUCAGGACUUUAUUUUACUGUUCAGUGUUCCUCAGCCUAGUUGUUCAAGUCAGGCUAAUUCCAACCUCUACCCCCCAAAAAAAAGCCCUACAGGAGUGCACAAUGCCAGCAGAGCAGAGCUGGGUAUGAGCAAGGAUAAAUGAGGCCGUCUGUCAAAAGCUGGACUGUCAUUGAGAGGCUGCGAUCCAAUGGGCACAACAUAUUAAACCUAAGGAAAAUACUUGUUCCCCUUACUUCAUUCUCUAGCAGGCUGCAGCUCAUGAAAUCCAUCAUGGACUUCACGUUAGUACAGAAAUUCGCUCCAGCACUUCUCCACUGACUCUCGGUAUUAACUGAGACUUCUCCUGUUUUUAUAAGACAAAUACUUCUUCAUGUUGCUGGGGAAGCAACAGUGUUGCUUCCAAUUUGUUGUUGUACCAAUAGCAUUUGUCUCACUGCAGCGUGAGCCACUGCAGGGAAGAAAACCAGGAGAGGACCAAUCACUUCCAGCAACACUAACUCUACAUUAGUUUAGCCUCAACUUCAAGCUGUACCCUAAGGCUCCAGCUCAGCAACAGGUAUCUUACUUUUGAGCUCAUGAGUAGUUCUGGUGCACUCAUGUGUUUUGACUUAAGCAUGUGCUUCAACCUCUUAUUGAAUGGGCUUCUAAAUCAUUUGAAAUCCAGCCCCAUUUCCAUCACUGAAAACCAUUGUAUUACAUCACUGGGUUGCUCCAGAAGUAGGGAAAAAAUAUUCUUGGUAUUUCUCGAGACAGUUUUACCGUUGUUAUGCUGCUGUUUUGCUGGGAUUCAGCUUCAGUAAACAGUUCCAGCCCCAGUCUGAAUUCAAAGCCAGAACUGGGGUUUGAUGAAACGCUUGGGUGCUGGACUGAACGUGCUCCAACUAUACAGGGAUUUUGGAGAGGAGAGAUAAGGUGAGGGCUUUCAAGCAAAAAUGUAGCCGUUCCCCUUUUCCAGAUCCUCCCCUUCCCAGCGCAGUAUUCUGGGAAACUGCCUGCCCGUUUCAAGACCUGCUGCAAUGAGCCCUGGUGUCAUGGUACAAGGCAGGGAAUUUCAGGUUGGAACUAAGUAUCUUUUUGGGUUUGUUUAUUUCCCUUAAAUUGCCUGAAGUCUUGCUUUCCAAUGUCCCACCACUUUCCAGAGACAAUCUGUCAGAGGAUCCCAACCUCCCUCCAUCCAUCCAUGUGUCUCCGUAGCCCAAUGUGACCAUCGCUAGGGGAUUCCAGGGUUGCACCCUCUCUGUUUUUAGCAGCGUGCCAACUAUUCCCCGUUAUCAUCAUGUGGAUGGAGGCAAGACGUGCUGGCAGAGCCUUACCCUUUCUUGAGAGCCUGGGGACCCUGCAGCACGGGGAACAGCAGGCUCCAGGUCCUUCCUAGGCCAAGACAAUGCUAGUACCAUGGAGAACCUUAUUCUUCGGAAACAAAGCAUCUCUGAUUCAGCUGUUACUCAAAACAGAAAUUCAUGUUUUAGUAGGGCUUUCUGCUUUAACCCAUCUGAAAUGUAAUACCCGUUAACACAGAUGUUAGCACACCUUUGCCUUUUCUUUCUCCCCCAAGAAGAAGAGCCCGCAGUUUAAGGUUGUAAGUCUGAGCAAUUCAGUAAAUGAUGCAAAUACAAAUGAAAAUUAGCCAACAAAAGAAAUUCAAUUGAGUUUAAUAGGAGGCUAUUAUCAUACCUCGCAUUCUCUGCUGCCCUAGCACAGGUAGGAACCAACCACAGGGGACGGAACAGCUCUGUCUGCUCACAUAGCGCAUACAUACAAGGCAAACAGCAGCAGAAAACCCGGUUUAUUUGACUGUAGUCAUUAGCGCUACGCAUUACAGGGUCAGUGCCGCUUCGCAGAGCGCUCCGCGUGUCCCCCCGCUCCCCAAGGAGCAGCACCGCACGGGGCCCGACAGAUGUGAGCCCACCGCGGUGGGGUCUCUCCGGCCCUCGUGUCGCUCCGCCAUCCCCGUUCGGCAGCCGAGCUUCCCGAAUCGGGCCUACUGGCGUCAGCGGGGGGGGGGUGGGGGGGACUGGGCUGGGCCGCGCCGGCCGGCCGCUGGGUGCCGGCAGGCC
ensembl:lncRNA